rnacentral:rRNA from 1 species
UGCAGUGGCGGGGUCUAUAAUGCAAGUCGAACGAACUCUGGUAUUGAUUGGUGCUUGCAUCAUGAUUUACAUUUGAGUGAGUGGCGAACUGGUGGGUAACACGUGGGAAACCUGCCCAGAAGCGGGGGAUAACACCUGGAAACAGAUGCUAAUACCGCAUAACAACUUGGACCGCAUGGUCCAAGUUUGAAAGAUGGCUUCGGCUAUCACUUUUGGAUGGUCCCGCGGCGUAUUAGCUAGAUGGUGGGGUAACGGCUCACCAUGGCAAUGAUACGUAGCCGACCUGAGAGGGUAAUCGGCCACAUUGGGACUGAGACACGGCCCAAACUCCUACGGGAGGCAGCAGUAGGGAAUCUUCCACAAUGGACGAAAGUCUGAUGGAGCAACGCCGCGUGAGUGAAGAAGGGUUUCGGCUCGUAAAACUCUGUUGUUAAAGAAGAACAUAUCUGAGAGUAACUGCUCAGGUAUUGACGGUAUUUAACCAGAAAGCCACGGCUAACUACGUGCCAGCAGCCGCGGUAAUACGUAGGUGGCAAGCGUUGUCCGGAUUUAUUGGGCGUAAAGCGAGCGCAGGCGGUUUUUUAAGUCUGAUGUGAAAGCCUUCGGCUCAACCGAAGAAGUGCAUCGGAAACUGGGAAACUUGAGUGCAGAAGAGGACAGUGGAACUCCAUGUGUAGCGGUGAAAUGCGUAGAUAUAUGGAAGAACACCAGUGGCGAAGGCGGCUGUCUGGUCUGUAACUGACGCUGAGGCUCGAAAGUAUGGGUAGCACACAGGAUUAUAUACCCUGGUAGUCCAUACCGUAGACGAUGAAUGCUAAGUGUUGGAGGGUUUCCGCCCUUCAGUGCUGCGCUAACGCAUUAAGCAUUCCACGUGGGGAGUACAGACGCAAGCUGAAACUCAAAUGAAUUGACGGGGCCCGCACAAGCCGAGGAGCGUGUGGUUUAAUUCAAAGCUGCUCGAAGAACCUUACCAGUCUUGACAUACUAUGCAAUCUAUAGAUUACAGAUUCCCUACUCGGACAUGGAUACUGUGGUGCAUGGUUGUCUUCGACUCGUAAUCCCGAACAUCA